AGGCCCAUGGAUGUUUCGAUUCUAUGUUUCCUCUAGUAUCAAUCGAUGAAACUAAGUCUAAUGACUCAAUUUAUUAAAAGGAUUUUCUGUUCUCUUCUUCUUUUCAUCUCGGCUACGGAAUUACUAUCUUUAGACACUCGAUACGUACUGAAAAGCUCAGUCACGGUGCCUGCAGGCUGGUCGCGAAAAUCAUCUGUAUCCACACAUCGAGUUAUUAGGGUAUGCAUUGGACUCAAGCAACAUGGAUGGGAGACAUUCGAACAACAUCUUAUGGAGAUCUCUGAUCCAUCUCACCCACGAUAUGGGAAGCACCUCUCUUCAAAUGAAGUGAGCCAGUUGGUUAAAGCUGCUCCGGAAUCCUUAAACGCGGUAACCGCGUGGCUUCAAGAAGUUAGUUCCUUUCCACCAAAUUUGACCUUUUCCACUUCGGGAGACUUGGUAUCAUUUAAUGCGCCAAUUGAGGUGGUUGAACGACUGUUUAUGGCAAAGUAUGCAGAGUAUCAACAUGAGGAUGGAUCAACCAUCAUACGGUCUUUGUCAUGGUCCGUGCCUGCCGAUCUAGUCAAUCACAUUGAUGUCGUCGAGCCCACCAAUUCGUUUUUCAAGCCACAUGGACAAUCUAGAUAUGGAGGUCCACCCCCACCAGAUUGGGAAAACGAGCAUCGGAUCCCAACUUAUGAGGAACUGGUAGAAGAGGAUGUGUUAGAACGAGGUCAUCUCGAUAUCCCUCUAGCCCAUGAGCUAUCCCAGGCCCCCAC
rnacentral:sRNA from 1 species